GCGAGCCUGUGAAGGGGAGCAAAUCCCAAAAAUAACGUCCCAGUUCGGAUUGUAGUCUGCAACCCGACUACAUGAAGCUGGAAUCGCUAGUAAUCGCGGAUCAGAAUGCCGCGGUGAAUACGUUCCCGGGUCUUGUACACACCGCCCGUCACACCAUGGGAGUCGGAAAUGCCCGAAGUCUGUGACCUAACCGUAAGGAAGGAGCAGCCGAAGGCAGGUCGGAUGACUGGGGUGAAGUCGUAACAAGGUACC
rnacentral:rRNA from 1 species